ensembl:lncRNA
AUGUACUGGUAUUGAUGAUGUUAUAUGGCUGGUGUGCACGUGUGUCUGUGUUUGUGUUAAAGCAAUACGUCUCUCUGCAUCUGUGUGUUACUGUGUAUCUGUGUAUGUGUGUUUGUCAGCUGUUGGUUCUGGCCGGGCCCAUUUCUCCUCCCUGAUUGGAGAAAGCAGAGCAGAGGCUCUCUGUGUUCCCCCCAGGUUCAGGAGGCCUGAGGGAUGACAUACCCUGAAAUGAAGCAUACAGAAGAAGGACCUCCUUUCUGUAUCCCAUUAACAUCACCUCGUAAAAUGCUCCUACACGACACGAGCAAACUGACACCCAUGUGUUGGCUGGCUCAGCUUUCUGCAGGGAUGUCCUGGCCGGAGGGAAAUGCACCAUUUCCAGUGUGCUGUGAUAAUAGCUAAGUGCAAAUGAGACGUGUGGGACAGCAGGCGAUCUCAAAGAGCAGCUCGAGAUUCCACAGGUUUACAGUCUCAAACCGCAUGC